UGUGUCCUGGUGCAGGUAGACACUGCGGAGGAGCACUCCUGGACUGUGUCCUUUCCAUAGCCUUGGCGUUUGCUUGGAUGUAAUGAAGCAUCACUAACAUGCAAAUAGCUGCUAGUGCCAAUCAAACUUAGCCUAUGUCUGUCUUACAAAGAUCAUGAAACUGACAUUUUCAUGGCUGCUGUGCAGCUGACCUCUGAAUAAUUCCACAUGCCUCACUAUGAUGUUAGCAAUCUUCUGUAACAAGAAAUGUGUGUGCAGAAGGUUGUGUGUUGCUCUUUUUAAAUACCCAUGUUUCCAAACAAGUAAAUAAAGCAACAUGUCAGCA